AAUAGAUACCCGGGUAGUCCACGCCGUAAACGAUGAGUGCUAGGUGUUAGGGGGUUUCCGCCCCUUAAUGCUGAAGUUAACGCAUUAAGCACUCCGCCUGGGGAGUACGGCCGCAAGGCUGAAACUCAAAAGAAUUGACGGGGGCCCGCACAAGCGGUGGAGCAUGUGGUUUAAUUCGAAGCAACGCGAAGAACCUUACCAGGUCUUGACAUCCGCUGACAAUCUUGGAGACAAGACGUUCCCUUCGGGGACAGCGUGACAGGUGGUGCAUGGUUGUCGUCAGCUCGUGUCGUGAGAUGUUGGGUUAAGUCCCGCAACGAGCGCAACCCUUGAUUCUAGUUACCAGCAUUAAGUUGGGCACUCUAGAGUGACUGCCGGUGACAAACCGGAGGAAGGUGGGGAUGACGUCAAAUCAUCAUGCCCCUUAUGACCUGGGCUACACACGUGCUACAAUGGAUGGUACAAAGGGCAGCAAAGUCGCGAGGCUAAGCAAAUCCCAUAAAACCAUUCUCAGUUCAGAUUGCAGGCUGCAA
rnacentral:rRNA from 1 species